UAGAGGUAGUUGCUGAUGGGUAUUUAAGAUAGUAGGAGUUCCCUACCAACAGGGAAGGAUGAGGAAACUCCUGGUCAGAAGAGAGAGAACCUGAAUGCCAGCGCAGCAUUGGUCACUGUGGUAGGAGAGAAAACCCGGAGAUGAGCAACUUAACGCUCCCAGGAAAAACUGAAGGUUUCUACAUGGCCUCUAUCAUCCAGUCUCUCCAGUGCCCAUCUGCUGAGGCUGCCAAAAAGAGCAUCAAUUAGUACCAGCUGGAUUGGCAACUUUUGAGAGCCAAUUUCUCAGAGUCCUCAUUUGAAACCCCUACAGGACUGAUCAUUAUGUGUAAUCACAAGCUAUCAGCAAACUGCAGAGAGUCUUGCUACUAUCCAAGGUGGCCCAGCUACUUCCUGAAAUCUAGCGGGGCAAGCAGAACCACUGACAGACAUCAGCACCGGAGAAAGAGAGAGAAUAAAGGGGAUAAAAGAGGGAAUGUCUUACAUAAAAAUUCUCUUUUAUGUCGAUGAUGUUUUACAGUAUAUUUCAAACACUUCAAGAUCAAUUCCAGAACUAGACAGAACAAUAAAGGAAUAUGGCUCAAUUCUUGGCUAUAAGAUAAAUGACGUGAAAACAGAAGAUACAAUGCUAAGCAGCAGAAAACAGACAAUACUGGUAUUAUGGAUAUAUUUGAAGAGAAUCAAAGGGGACUGAGAUAUAUAGGAAGUAUGAACAAAGCUAACUUUCCACUAUUCCUAUAAAAAAUUAAGAAAUGAUUCCAAGGAAUAAAAGAUUUACAUAGAUGGGAUGGCCUGCCCUUAUUUUUAAUAGACAUAAUAGAAAUAAUCCAAGAGAAAGUUCUCUGAGGAAUAUUAGAUUUUCUCCAGUGUGUUUCUCUAUCCCAAAGAAAAAGACAGAGUUACUUGAUAGUUACAUUUUGAUAUUCAUAUGGAUCAUGGAAGACAGUGCAGGCUAAAUGUCUUGUAGUUAUGCAUCCCAGUAAAAAGUUAUGUUUGAUACAAUCAAAGAAGAUGAGAUAAAAUGGUUAUAUAUAUCGAAAGAUGUCACACAUUUAAUAAGACUGAAAGAAGUAUCAUCUAUUUACCAGCCAAUGAGAAAAAAUCAUAGGAAAUAAUCCAGAGAUUUCCAGUGUGUAGAAAAUGAGAAACAGCUAAUGUUUUUAACCAUUAUUUUUAACAUUCCUAAUUUCACCAAAGACGUAAGGGGGAAAUAGAUGAAAUAGAUUGAAAUGUAUAUUCAAUUCUGUCACCUUUACACGGAGACUGAGCCAAGAUUUACUGAGGUGAAUAGGAAGACUGGUGUUGAUUUUAAAUGGACUUUUGGAUCAGGCCUAUUGAGUACCUGACUCCCUUAGUAGAUGUAUUGUAUCAGAUUUAGACUCAGGUCCUUUUACACCAGUCAAAAGUCUUAUUUUAGAAAGAAAUUACUUUGCCAGGAUGGUAUGAGGAGGAUUUACUGUAAAUGAGAAUCUGGUGCACUGAAACCAGUAGCACCACUCAUGGCAGAAAGUGUUAUUUAUCAUGACCAAGGGUGACAGAAUCUCUCACAAAUCUGGAAGAGAAAUUUGUGAGUAAAACAAGAAUUUUGCAUCUUUUUGAAGUAAAGUGAGUAGGCUUGAUUCUCCCAUGUUUACAUCUAUGUAAAUUAGGAGUAACUCCUUGAAAAUCAAUGUACUUCCACUGAAGCAAAAUCAGGACCAGGCCACUUCUGUACAAAAUCACAAGAACUAGAGGCAGUUUAGACCAGAUUUAUCCCCAGUAGAAAGCUAUGUAAGGAAAUUACAAGAUAAUCAGACUUCAAGUUUUUAAAAAAAUACAUUUUUUACACUUUCUCAAGAGAACUGCAGGACAGUAUUGAUACCAUGAAGCUGGAAUGAAGAAAAGAAACAAACCAACAAACCUCUCUAGAGUACUGGAAGAAUACAGUGCUUAACACUGAUCAGUGCUAUUUUCCCCUUGUGAAACAAAUACCAUUUGAAAAUAAUGACAAGAUAUUAUCUUAUAUCAGUCUUACGGAAGAAAUUAGACACACAAUUCACAGCAAAAUACUGGCAGGAAUAUGAUAGUAUGAGAAGACAAUUUUAUAACUGUGAGUCUUGAUGCAUGCAGGAGAACAUAAACAGCACAGGUAAGCGGGCACCAUAUGCCCACUACUUUUCUCUAGUUAAGCAGAACUUUGGUUCUAUAUCAAUGAGUACAGCUGAGGAUGGUAAGGUGGCAAUAUAUUGAUGACCCAUGCUAAUAACAUAUGAUGUGCCUCUCAUCACCCCUGAAGAAGCAGCACAGAAAAUAAGGCUUUCCUUUCUUUCCACAUGUUGCCUCUAAGAUAGUGUUCUUGCCACCUUUUAGUCAUGGUUGGAAAUAAAGGAGCAACCUUGAUCUAUGAUUUCAAAAACCAAGUACCAAUUAUAGAACUGCAGUUAACAAGAACAAAAGAAUUUUAAAUAAUUAAAGAAAAGAAAAAGAAUAGCUUCCUUCUCUUAUUAUAUUAACAAGUGAACUAUUGGAAGAAACAAUGGAUGAAGCCAGUUUACUGAUUAAAAAAUAACCUCAACUACAUUUUUGUGCAGGGAAAAUAAUAAAUAAUAACAAUUAACAAUUGUUAACUACUUUUCCAAGAGCAGACUUGCUUGUUAUAACUCAUAUAGAAAAAAAUUUUACAGUAUGCCCUUAUAUUCUGACACUCACUUUUUUUUGCUAU